GGUCCUCCUGGUACAGGAAAAACAGACGUCGCAGUUCAAAUUAUUGCAAAUCUCUACCACUCGUUCCCUACGCAACGUACUGUAUUGGUGACUCAUUCUAAUGCUGCGUUGAAUGAUAUCUUU
rnacentral:ribozyme from 1 species